rnacentral:rRNA from 1 species
CCUACGGGCGGCAGCAGUGAGGAAUAUUGGUCAAUGGACGAGAGUCUGAACCAGCCAAGUAGCGUGAAGGAUGACUGCCCUAUGGGUUGUAAACUUCUUUUAUAUGGGAAUAAAACGUUCCACGUGUGGGAUUUUGUAUGUACCAUAUGAAUAAGGAUCGGCUAACUCCGUGCCAGCAGCCGCGGUAAUACGGAGGAUCCGAGCGUUAUCCGGAUUUAUUGGGUUUAAAGGGAGCGUAGGUGGAUUGUUAAGUCAGUUGUGAAAGUUUGCGGCUCAACCGUAAAAUUGCAGUUGAAACUGGCAGUCUUGAGUACAGUAGAGGUGGGCGGAAUUCGUGGUGUAGCGGUGAAAUGCUUAGAUAUCACGAAGAACUCCGAUUGCGAAGGCAGUUCACUUGACUGCAACUGACACUGAGGCUCGAAAGUGUGGGUAUCAAACAGGAUUAGAUACCCCAGUAGUC